rnacentral:lncRNA from 1 species
UCAAACAUUAAUUGAUGCUCAGAAAUAUUUUUCAAAUUAAUUAGUCAAACACAAAUUGCUCCUCACCAAAAGUAUUUUUUUUUAAAAACACUUGUUAAAAUAAGUUAAUUUUUACAAUUUGAUCAAACAGGCUAUUAAUCUAAGAAAAUUAAUUUGUGUAUGAAAAAUCAUUAAUACAGAAACUGGAAUUGGAGCAGCCUUACUUGACUUCCUUUUGCUCUUUGCAUUUUGAUUUAUUGUUAGCAUCAUCAGAAACUCUAGUAAAGCAGCUC